CGCUGGCGGCGUGCCUAAUACAUGCAAGUCGAACGAACUCUGGUAUUGAUUGGUGCUUGCAUCAUGAUUUACAUUUGAGUGAGUGGCGAACUGGUGAGUAACACGUGGGAAACCUGCCCAGAAGCGGGGGAUAACACCUGGAAACAGAUGCUAAUACCGCAUAACAACUUGGACCGCAUGGUCCGAGUUUGAAAGAUGGCUUCGGCUAUCACUUUUGGAUGGUCCCGCGGCGUAUUAGCUAGAUGGUGGGGUAACGGCUCACCAUGGCAAUGAUACGUAGCCGACCUGAGAGGGUAAUCGGCCACAUUGGGACUGAGACACGGCCCAAACUCCUACGGGAGGCAGCAGUAGGGAAUCUUCCACAAUGGACGAAAGUCUGAUGGAGCAACGCCGCGUGAGUGAAGAAGGGUUUCGGCUCGUAAAACUCUGUUGUUAAAGAAGAACAUAUCUGAGAGUAACUGUUCAGGUAUUGACGGUAUUUAACCAGAAAGCCACGGCUAACUACGUGCCAGCAGCCGCGGUAAUACGUAGGUGGCAAGCGUUGUCCGGAUUUAUUGGGCGUAAAGCGAGCGCAGGCGGUUUUUUAAGUCUGAUGUGAAAGCCUUCGGCUCAACCGAAGAAGUGCAUCGGAAACUGGGAAACUUGAGUGCAGAAGAGGACAGUGGAACUCCAUGUGUAGCGGUGAAAUGCGUAGAUAUAUGGAAGAACACCAGUGGCGAAGGCGGCUGUCUGGUCUGUAACUGACGCUGAGGCUCGAAAGUAUGGGUAGCAAACAGGAUUAGAUACCCUGGUAGUCCAUACCGUAAACGAUGAAUGCUAAGUGUUGGAGGGUUUCCGCCCUUCAGUGCUGCAGCUAACGCAUUAAGCAUUCCGCCUGGGGAGUACGGCCGCAAGGCUGAAACUCAAAGGAAUUGACGGGGGCCCGCACAAGCGGUGGAGCAUGUGGUUUAAUUCGAAGCUACGCGAAGAACCUUACCAGGUCUUGACAUACUAUGCAAAUCUAAGAGAUUAGACGUUCCCUUCGGGGACAUGGAUACAGGUGGUGCAUGGUUGUCGUCAGCUCGUGUCGUGAGAUGUUGGGUUAAGUCCCGCAACGAGCGCAACCCUUAUUAUCAGUUGCCAGCAUUAAGUUGGGCACUCUGGUGAGACUGCCGGUGACAAACCGGAGGAAGGUGGGGAUGACGUCAAAUCAUCAUGCCCCUUAUGACCUGGGCUACACACGUGCUACAAUGGAUGGUACAACGAGUUGCGAACUCGCGAGAGUAAGCUAAUCUCUUAAAGCCAUUCUCAGUUCGGAUUGUAGGCUGCAACUCGCCUACAUGAAGUCGGAAUCGCUAGUAAUCGCGGAUCAGCAUGCCGCGGUGAAUACGUUCCCGGGCCUUGUACACACCGCCCGUCACACCAUGAGAGUUUGUAACACCCAAAGUCGGUGGGGUAACCUUUUAGGAACCAGCCGCCUAAGGUGGGACAGAUGAUUAGG
rnacentral:rRNA from 2 species